rnacentral:misc_RNA from 1 species
AAAAUCAUAGCUACAUGGAUCCAAAUCUGUCCAAAUCACAGUCAUAUUAAAAUACGCGGCUCUUGUAAGGAUGAUUUGAGUAAUUUAUACAAAAAAAUAAAGGAUCCUUUCAGUAGUGUGAUUUUGGCAGGUUAAGGCUUGGUAAAUUUGUUGAUUUUACGGUUUGUACCUGAAGAAAAGUUUACGCAUUUGUAGUAUGAAUGGUGUUUGAACUGGAUGUAAUUUGAG